UUCAAUCGUAAUAUCAACAACAAUUUAUCGUUAUUCGUAUUGCUGUUUUGUUUCGGUGAUGGCUAAGAUUUCUUUCACUCUGGUUUUCACUCUUAUCCUAGCCAUUACAGGUAUUUCAAGAACAAGUGGAGCAAUGCCAAAAAAACACUGUCAGCAAGUAUUGGGUCCAAAUGACUGCACAUUCAGUAAUUGUAAUGCGAAUUGUGUGAAACAAUAUCUCGGAAUUGGAUAUUGCGUUGGCCCAUAUCCUCAUAAAUGUGUUUGUGUAUACAAUUGUCCUCAUUAGAAGGACCUGUCCUAAUGUUCCAUCUGACGCAAGAAUAACAAAAUAAAAUGAUUUCUUCUGUUACUCUA